UACGGUGAAUACGUUCCCGGGACCUUGCACACACCGCCCGUCAAGCCAUGGAAGCCGGGUGUACCUAAAGUCGGUAACCGUAGGGAGCCGCCUAGGGUAAAACUGGUGACUGGGCUUA
rnacentral:rRNA from 1 species